rnacentral:rRNA from 1 species
AAGCACGGACCAAGGAGUCUAACAUGUGAGCGAGCGAUUGAGUUUGUCGAAUCUCAGACGCGCAAUGAAAGUGAAGUGUCGUCUGACGGCACGAGCGGAGAUCCGUCGUCACUCGUGGCGGCGGCGCAUCCGCGGGCCACGCCAUCGGCUGGCUUGCUUUUCGGAGCACUGYUGAGGCGUGGACCUAGAGCCCACACGUUGGGACCCGAAAGAUGGUGAACUAUGCCUGGCCAGGAUGAAGCCAGAGGAAACUCUGGUGGAGGUCCGCCGCGAUUCUGACGUGCAAAUCGAUCGUCUGAGCUGGGUAUAGGGGCGAAAGACCAAUCGAACCAUCUAGUAGCUGGUUCCGCCCGAAGUUUCCCUCAGGAUAGCUGGCGCUCGUGUGAUACGGAGUUUCAUCCGGUAAAGCGAAUGAUCAGAGGAGCUGGGCUCCUUGCGAGCUCAACCUAUUCUCAAACUUUCAAUGGGUGAGACGUCUCGCUGGCUUCACUGCAGCGACGACUCUGAAUCCGAGUGCCCAGUGGGCCACUUUUGGUAAGCAGAACUGGCGAUGCGGGAUGAACCGCAUGUCGAGUUAAGGUGCCUAAGCGGACGCAAAUCAGAUACCAUGAAAGGUGUUGAUUGCUCACGACAGCAGGACGGUGGCCAUGGAAGUCGGCAUCCGCUAAGGAGUGUGUAACAACUCACCUGCCGAAGCAAUCAGCCCUGAAAAUGGAUGGCGCUAAAGCGUUCCACCGAUACUCGACCGUCGUCGGCAGGCGACGUGCUCAUGCCACGUCUCAAGCCACGACGAGUAGGGCGGCGCGGUGGUGAGCGUUGAAGGCGUAGCCGUGAGGCUAGCUGGAGCCGCCAUCGGUGCAGAUCUUGGUGGUAGUAGCAAAUACACAAGCAAGAUCCUUGUGGACCGAUGUGGAGAAGGGUUCCGCGCGAACAGUACUUGGACGUGGGUGAGUCGGCCCUAAGCCAACGGGUAAUUCCCGCAUCCCGUGUUCACGCACAGACUAUCUGAAUAACAUGGGUUGAU